rnacentral:lncRNA from 1 species
GUUGUUUCCCUAAGCAAGUCUGAAGGCUAUCAGAACUAUUCUUAUCCCCUACAGAGACGUCUAUGGAGUUUUAUUCCACAGCAGGUCUAAGGAUUUUUGAAACUCCCCAGCAGGCCUGAGAGUGGGUUUAUCCCCAGUUAGUCUAGAAGUUGGCAGUUCCCCACUGAGUUUGACGAAUGUUAGUCCCCACCAAGUUGGAAGGUUGUUGUAUCCCCAGCGGAGGUUUCAGUGGAGUUUAUUCCCCAGCAGUCUGUUU